UACAGAGGGGGCAAGCGUUGUUCGGAAUUACUGGGCGUAAAGGGCGCGUAGGCGGCCUUCUAAGUCGAACGUGAAAUCCCUGGGCUCAACCCAGGAACUGCGUCCGAUACUGGAAGGCUUGAAUCCGGGAGAGGGAUGCGGAAUUCCAGGUGUAGCGGUGAAAUGCGUAGAUAUCUGGAGGAACACCGGUGGCGAAGGCGCAUCCUGGACCGGCAUUGACGCUGAGGAGCGAAAGCCAGGGGAGCAAACGGG
rnacentral:rRNA from 1 species